UACGGGGGGGGGCAAGCGUUGUUCGGAAUUACUGGGCGUAAAGGGCUCGUAGGCGGCCAACUAAGUCAGACGUGAAAUCCCUCGGCUUAACCGGGGAACUGCGUCUGAUACUGGAUGGCUUGAAUCCGGGAGAGGGAUGCGGAAUUCCAGGUGUAGCGGUGAAAUGCGUAGAUAUCAGUCGGAACACCGGUGGCGAAGGCGGCUUCUUGGGCCGUUCCUGACGCUGAGGCGCGAAAGCUGGGGGGAGCGAACGGG
rnacentral:rRNA from 1 species